ACGUUCUCUCCCCUUCCUCCCUCUCUACAACCAGUGAUUCGCCGCUGCCGUCACCUCUGCCGCCGGCGUCAAGCCUCCAGGGAGCGAGCCCUUCCAGCUACCCAUCAGACACACACCCGCGGCCCCCGUUCCCCCUCACGGGCCCCGCGUCUCUCUCGAGGCGAGACGAAUCGCGCCCGCCCGCCCGCCUAGGGUUUCCGCCGCCGCCGGAGAGGGAAGGGGAGGGGGUGAGGAACUGAACCGGAGCAAGAUGGCCGGACGACUCCUCGGGCAGCUCCUCGUCAUGGGCGGCGCCGUCGUCGGCAGGGCCGUGGUCCAGGCCUACCGCCAGGCAAUCGUCAGUUAUGAAGAUGUGUCCAUCCGGAGCCAUUAAAACAAUAUGCUACAUAUACUGGGUAGAUAUCUCUGAUUAUUCCAUUAUUAUGGCGGGCGAGGAGAAACAAUAUGUACCGUGUAGUAUGCUGAAGUUCUCAGUUCAUGGAAUCAUUGGUUGGAUCUUCUUCCAAUGCCACAACACGUGUAUGGACACUGUAGAAAAAAAUAUGUGAGGCGUUUUGCUGCAAUCUAUCCAUACUGCCCAGCGCAUGUUAUAGCAGCCAAUUAAUAGAAGCUAUAACUACAGAAGUAACAGCAGCCUGUUGGCGCUCUUUUAUGAUGUCUACUUCCGACUGAAUAUUGGUUGGCAUUACAAAGCUAGGCACCUGAGCUAUUUACAGAAGGAGGGGACCCGACCUUCUUCAUGUCCCGCGGCAGUGUCUUCCUUUGAUCCGUUCGUGCAACAAGGAGGGGACCUGGCCUUCUUCAUGUCUCGUGCAACAAGGGUGAUGGACAUUGACUACGACAACCUGGUGGGCGUCGUGCUCUUCAACCACUCAGAGGUGGACUUCGCCGUGAAGCCUGGCGACCGCACCGCACGGAUGAUUGUCGAUGUGAUCGCGACGCCGGAUGUCGCCGAGGUGGAGGACCUCGAUGCCAUCGUUCAGGGUGAGGGAGGAUUUGGGUUGGGUCCGCCGGCGUCUCAACUCCGAGCCUUGCUAGAUACAUGUAGAGAAGUGGUCUGUUUAGGCUGGUGGUGGAACAUUAGGGAAGGUACCCACCUUUGGUUGUGUGCGUUUAAUUUAUUUUGCACUGGAUGUGUCCCUGAUUUCUAUCUAUGA